CCAUGGCUCAGUCGGUAGAGCGACGCAUUCGUAAUGCGUAGGUCGCCGGUUCGAAUCCGGCUGG
rnacentral:tRNA from 1 species